GGAGCAUAAAAGGCACUCGAAGCAGGAGAACCUGAAGCUUUCUUCUCUACGAACACAUUCAAAAUGGCAAAACAAGAGUAUAAUGACGUUGUUGAACACUGUGCCCGUGAGCUCCGAAAAGUUGGAGACAAGCUGUACUGGAAGUACAAACUACUGGAAAUACUGAUCAACAACUACAAGACUGUGUAUAAGAUAACAUGAGACGUCACAGCUGAAGAACAUGAAAAGGGAAUGAAAAUAUGGAAGAAGAAAAGACAUUAAAAAGUAAAAAAGCCAACACAGAAAAAAAGUCUUGGAUGUGGACUCGUCGUCGGUGACAAAGUGUCAUCCCUCAGGGGGAGAGCUGGACAUCAACCAGUGGAAACAAGUCGUCAGAGUCAGUGGUAUGGACUUUGGACUGGGACCAGUACUGUACAGAGGAACAAGCUUGUGGGAGGUGGUUGAUCCUGAGGCGUGUGGAUGACUGGACCAAUGGAGGUUUAUCUGCUGACGCUGAUAGUACUGCACAUAUAUCUUUGUUUUGGGCUUUUUUGUGCCCGGUUAAAAAACUUUUUACAAAAACAAUUAAUUUAAAUGUGUCCUCUCAAACUGACAGGACUGAACUAUCACUACCUGUUUAAAUACUAAUACUAAGAAUGAUACAUAUUAUUUCUUACUGUGGGAAACUUUAUGUCAUACUUAUUUAUAAGUGGAUAAUUUAUUAAUAUUGCUGCCUUAAAUAAUUUUAAUAUCUAUUUACUACUUUUUUACUCUGAGUGCAACUCCAAUUGUUUUAUUUAUCUUUUAUUUCAAGAAUAUAUUGCUAAUAUUUGUGUUUGAAAAUAUAUUUGAUUUACUUAAUAAGUUAUCCUUAAAAAUGACUACUUUUUCCAAGCUUGGCUGCUGCACAAAAGCCAUAUAAAAACCAAAUGCAUGUUAGUUUCGAUGUGGCAGGUUACUUUAUAUUGAUAGUAUCCUGUUUUCUGUGACAAUAAUUUAGAUUUUUAAUUGUAUUUGUGAGCAAACAGAUUUUUAUUAAAAAGCCUGUUGACUUUC